GGGUGCGAUCAUACCAGCAUUAAUGCACCGGAUCCCAUCAGAACUCUGAAGUUAAGGCUGCUUGGGCGAGAGUAGUUCGAGGAUGGGUGACCCCACGGAAGUCCUCGUGUUGCACCCA
rfam:Daucus carota subsp. sativus cultivar DH1 chromosome 8, whole genome shotgun sequence.